CCUACGGGGGGCAGCAGUGAGGAAUAUUGGUCAAUGGACGAGAGUCUGAACCAGCCAAGUAGCGUGAAGGAUGACUGCCCUAUGGGUUGUAAACUUCUUUUAUAUGGGAAUAAAAUGUUCCACGUGUGGGAUUUUGUAUGUACAAUAUGAAUAAGGAUCGGCUAACUCCGUGCCAGCAGCCGCGGUAAUACGGAGGAUCCGAGCGUUAUCCGGAUUUAUUGGGUUAAAAGGGAGCGUAGGUGGAUUGUUAAGUCAGUUGUGAAAGUUUGCGGCUCAACCGUAAAAUUGCAGUUGAAACUGGCAGUCUUGAGUACAGUAGAGGUGGGCGGAAUUCUUGGUGUAGCGGUGAAAUGCUUAGAUAUCACGAAGAACUCCGAUUGCGAAGGCAGUUCACUGGACUGCAACUGACACUGAGGCUCGAAAGUGUGGGUAUCAAACAGGAUUAGAUACCCGGGUAGU
rnacentral:rRNA from 1 species